rnacentral:rRNA from 1 species
UACGAAGGGGGCUAGCGUUGUUCGGAAUUACUGGGCGUAAAGGGCGCGUAGGCGGUACUUCAAGUCAGGCGUGAAAGCCCCGGGCUCAACCUGGGAACCGCGCUUGAGACUGGAGACUAGAGUUCGGGAGAGGAUGGUGGAAUUCCCAGUGUAGAGGUGAAAUUCGUAGAUAUUGGGAAGAACACCGAUGGCGAAGGCAGCCAUCUGGACCGACACUGACGCUGAGGCGCGAAAGCGUGGGGAGCAACAGG